rnacentral:tRNA from 1 species
GCCUGGGUGGCUCAGUCGGUUGAGCAUCUGACUUCGGCUCAGGUCAUGAUCUCAGAGUUUGUGGGUUCGAGCCCUGCAUUGGGCU